rnacentral:rRNA from 1 species
GAGAACUUGUCUAAACCUUAUCAUUUAGAGGAAGGUGAAGUCGUAACAAGGUUUCCGUAGGUGAACCUGCGGAAGGAUCA